UACAGAGGGUGCGAGCGUUGUUCGGAAUUAUUGGGCGUAAAGGGCGCGUAGGCGGCGCCACAAGUCACUUGUGAAAACUCUGGGCUCAACUCAGAGCCUGCAAGCGAAACUGUGGUGCUGGAGUAUGGGAGAGGUGCGUGGAAUUCCCGGGUGUAGCGGUGAAAUGCGUAGAUAUCGGGAGGAACACCUGUGGCGAAAGCGGCGCACUGGACCAUAACUGACGCUGAGGCGCGAAAGCUAGGGGAGCAAACAGG
rnacentral:rRNA from 1 species